rnacentral:snRNA from 1 species
GGAUGUGAGGUUGAUCUGGCUUCGACAUCUGUCACCCCAUGAUCGCCAGGGUUGAUUCAGCGGAUCUGGCUGGCCAGGCGGGUGUCCCCUUCCUCCCUCAUGCAGCUGUGUGCUUGGUUGAAGAGGAAGACAACCACUCUGACAGAGGCGGGCCGCUCCUCAGCCGAGGGUGUAUGAGCAGCUGUGCUCCUGGCUAGAACCUCCGAGCAAGCUCUCAAGGCCCAAACACACGCAAACAUAGCUACAGGAUUUAUCACUUCCUGUUCUUGCAUAUUGUUUUAUGUGUUUUUAA